rnacentral:rRNA from 1 species
GAUGAAUGCUGGCGGCGUUCCUAAUACAUGCAAGUCGAGCGAACGGACGAGAAGCUUGCUUCUCUGAUGUUAGCGGCGGACGGGUGAGUAACACGUGGAUAACCUACCUAUAAGACUGGGAUAACUUCGGGAAACCGGAGCUAAUACCGGAUGAUAUUUUGAACCGCAUGGUUCAAAAGUGAAAGACGGUCUUGCUGUCACUUAUAGAUGGAUCCGCGCUGCAUUAGCUAGUUGGUAAGGUAACGGCUUACCAAGGCAACGAUGCAUAGCCGACCUGAGAGGGUGAUCGGCCACACUGGAACUGAGACACGGUCCAGACUCCUACGGGAGGCAGCAGUAGGGAAUCUUCCGCAAUGGGCGAAAGCCUGACGGAGCAACGCCGCGUGAGUGAUGAAGGUCUUCGGAUCGUAAAACUCUGUUAUUAGGGAAGAACAUAUGUGUAAGUAACUGUGCACAUCUUGACGGUACCUAAUCAGAAAGCCACGGCUAACUACGUG